UUUCCGUAGGUGAACCUGCGGAAGGAUCAUUACCGAGUGAGGGCCCUCUGGGUCCAACCUCCCACCCGUGUUUAUCAUACCCUGUUGCUUCGGCGGGCCCGCCUUCACCGGCCGCCGGGAUGGCCUCUGCGCCUCCGGGCCCGCGCCCGCCGAAGACACCUCUGAACGCUUCUAUGAAGAUUGCAGUCUGAGUGAUUUUUUAAAUCAAUUAAAACUUUCAACAACGGAUCUCUUGGUUCCGGCAUCGAUGAAGAACGCAGC
rnacentral:misc_RNA from 1 species